GACGAACGCUGGCGGCGUGCUUAACACAUGCAAGUCGAGCGGUAAGGCCCUUUCGGGGGUACACGAGCGGCGAACGGGUGAGUAACACGUGGGUGACCUGCCCUCAGCUCUGGGAUAAGCCUGGGAAACCGGGUCUAAUACCGGAUAUGACUCCAUGACGCAUGUUGUGGGUGGAAAGCCUUGUGCGGCUGAGGAUGGGCCCGCGGCCUAUCAGCUUGUUGGUGGGGUGAUGGCCUACCAAGGCGACGACGGGUAGCCGGCCUGAGAGGGCGACCGGCCACACUGGGACUGAGACACGGCCCAGACUCCUACGGGAGGCAGCAGUGGGGAAUCUUGCGCAAUGGGCGAAAGCCUGACGCAGCGACGCCGCGUGAGGAUGACGGCCU
rnacentral:rRNA from 1 species